rnacentral:lncRNA from 7 species
AUGGGCUGCCUUGGGGAAGGGAGGAGAGAGAUGGCAAGGGCUACAGAGCACGAGGCACGAGGAGACACGGAGUACAGCCUUUUUCCUUGGGGGCCUUUUGCAGAAGGAACCCUCCUGUGCUGCUUCCCAGCACGCACCCUGCUGGAGCUAGAGGCUCGGUCCCGUAGGAGCCGGGCCGGGAGCAUCGCCGCUGGCGGAGCACGCCCUGCCCGCGGGGCCCAAGCUCCGGCCUGGCGGCAACGGUACGACAGGCGCAACGGGAGGCGUCGGGUGCGGUGCCGCGCGACGAGCCUGAAAGCGGGAGCUGUCAGCAGGACAACGGUGUUGUUUGGCAAGACAGGUGGCUGUGGGAUCUUUUUGGUCAGCAGGAUUGGAAGAGAGCCAUCAUCUGCCUCCUCUAAGCCUGCCAGCCCAUGUGAUUGGUAUUGACUUGGCCUCAACAAUUUUCAGCUCUGUUGUUUCCUGGAAAGCACCAACACGCUCUACAGGGAAAGGAAACCUUCAAUGAUCGGCAGUGCCAGCUGGGACAAGACUUUGCAGUCAAUCUUCUCAGCAAGUGUUUGAAGCUGUCUGCUUGCUAUGGGACCUCACCUUCAAUUCUAUGUCUCAGUCCUUACAUUCUAGGUACUGCCUGACCUGGGUCUUGCUGUGGAAUGCAGGGUAUGGCUUACAGUUGCUUGAAAAUGUAGCAUAUGUUUGCAGAAUAAAUCCUCUCUCUAGCAAUUGUGGGGGUCAAGUCACCCUUUCUGAAGGGUGGGUACAAGACUGUGUUUUGAGCUCUCUUUGCAUCCUGGGAUCAUUGCAAACCUUUCAAGAGCCAGGCAUCCUGAUGUUUCUUCUAGUUUUGGAUUGUUUCUCAUGUUUACUGUAGCAUAAGGAGACGAUAGUCUGUAUUGAAAAAAAGAAAAUGGAAAACCCUAAUAACUGCUGAAGUCAUACUUCUUAGGAGACAUGGAACGACUCUCUCCCUUUCCUCAUCCCAGUUACUGAGACAUGGAUGUUCUGUUAAGAUGCAUUUGGGCAGAAGAGUAGAGCUGGUCCUUGGAUGAGCUGCCAUCCAUACAGGUGCUGUCUGAUCAUGGCUGUACGUGGCUGCACCCUUGCCGCCUUGGCUCUGGGACUCACCCAACUCCCUGUUACAUUGGUUUGGUUCACUAAACCAUCAGAAAAUUUAUCUGAGAAAGAAAGAUGAUGCAUGGGGCUCUGCUUUUGUGCGGUUGAGAGCUGUGUUGGCUCUCAGGGCUCAGGUGCCAGAGCCAGGCUGCUGGAGGAAGCAGGAUCACGUGGCCUGGAAGGUAUUGUGGAAAAACGUUAAGUGUGCUCAGCUAAUUUUCUGGGCUGCUUUCUUGGUGCACCACAGGAAGGUGCUCAGACACUGGGCCAGGUGCAGUGCAUGGUGCAGAGGGCACUGGGGGAGGAUUUGUUCCAUCAGUGGCGGCUCUGGGGGCCUACACAUCUACAUGUGUUUCCUGGGACAUUAUGUUCACCUGUUUGUUACUCAGCCCUCCAAUGCUUUCAAAACCAUGCUGGGACAAAGCCUUUCCCCUGGUUGUCCCUCAGUUACCAAAAUAUCUCCUUUGCCCCUUGACCAGCUGUCAGAAUUUCCCUGACCUUCCUAAAACAAGUAUCUCAGGGACUGUUUCUCUUGGCCUAUGGUAAAUGGGAGGGAUGCUCCAGCCUGGUGUGCUCUAUAGGCUGGUCAUAACUUGAGGAAGAAGGUGUUCCAGAGCAAAAAAACGUACAACUUCAGAGUCAAAGAAAAAAAAAGCCUUAAUUAUUCAACUAGUCUGAAAUGCUUUAAAGUAUCCCUAAAAAUAGGUGAGAGGGAUGUUUGUCAGCUACAAAGAGAUCAUCCUGCAGUAGUGUUACUUGUGUUAUUUUAUGAUGAUGCUACAGAAUACAGUCCCUCAGGUAGGCUCAUUAAUGUUUAUGAAUGAGCCCCUUGUUUUAAGCUUUUGGUUUGAGAACGUGGAACUAGGGCAAGAGGCAAGCUGGGCUGGUUCUGCAGGGCACUCCGCAGGGCCCAGGGCAGCAUGGAAGGUCGCUGCAGACCUUGGCAGCUUCAGAGUGCAGAUGACAGCUGCGUUUGGGCUGAGAAGGAGCAGGACUUUGGCUAAAUACUCUGUGAAACUCUGCGCCUUCGCAGAGGGUCAGCACGCAGGAGGCUUGCGUGGCUGUGUCUCUUUCAGCACAGUCAACCUGCGGCUGCGAGAGCUGUGAGGGCUCGUGGUGAACCCUCCUGCCUGGCAGGGUGGCGGGACUCCUUGUCACUGUCUGUUCCUUAAAGAGGGCAACUGCUCCUUCUGGCUAUCUGUACGUGCCUUCUACCACAACUUUAGAUCAACAGCUCGGUUUUCCGACCCGGCCCCAGAGGCAGCCCGAUGGAGAAAGCUGCCCCUUCCUUCAAGGCAGCGGGAUACU